CUUUGUACGGGUAUUACACGGUACUUUUUGGCGUUUCAAGGAGCAUUGGGAUUUGCUCCCAGGGCUAGGUACCAUUUGAUGACAAUAGAUAGAAGUGAAGGAAUUAUGAAUAUAUUGGGGAGAACCAAUACAGAUUGAGCGGACAAGCAAUGGAAUUCAAGCAGCUGAACACCCAUGUUUGGGAAGCCUUUGAGAAGGGGGCAGGAUAUCACAAGCAAGGAAGUAGAUGAUAGAAGAAUAUAAAAAGAUUAUAAAUAUGUCUCCUUUCAUUCUAAUUGUAAAUAAAUAUAUAAAUAGAA